UGAACGCUGGCGGUAGGCCUAACACAUGCAAGUCGAACGGCAGCACAGUAAGAGCUUGCUCUUACGGGUGGCGAGUGGCGGACGGGUGAGGCAUACAUCGGAAUCUACUUUUUCGUGGGGGAUAACGUAGGGAAACUUACGCUAAUACCGCAUUCGACCUACGGGUGAAAGCAGGGGAUCUUCGGACCUUGCGCGAUUGAAUGAGCCGAUGUCGGAUUAGCUAGUUGGCGGGGUAAAGGCCCACCAAGGCGACGAUCCGUAGCUGGUCUGAGAGGAUGAUCAGCCACACUGGAACUGAGACACGGUCCAGACUCCUACGGGAGGCAGCAGUGGGGAAUAUUGGACAAUGGGCGCAAGCCUGAUCCAGCCAUACCGCGUGGGUGAAGAAGGCCUUCGGGUUGUAAAGCCCUUUUGUUGGGAAAGAAAAGCAGCAGGUUAAUACCCCGCUGUUCUGACGGUACCCAAAGAAUAAGCACCGGCUAACUUCGUG
rnacentral:rRNA from 1 species